CCUACGGGCGGCAGCAGUGAGGAAUAUUGGUCAAUGGACGAGAGUCUGAACCAGCCAAGUAGCGUGAAGGAUGACUGCCCUAUGGGUUGUAAACUUCUUUUAUAUGGGAAUAAAAUGUUCCACGUGUGGGAUUUUGUAUGUACCAUAUGAAUAAGGAUCGGCUAACUCCGUGCCAGCAGCCGCGGUAAUACGGAGGAUCCGAGCGUUAUCCGGAUUUAUUGGGUUUAAAGGGAGCGUAGGUGGAUUGUUAAGUCAGUUGUGAAAGUUUGCGGCUCAACCGUAAAAUUGCAGUUGAAACUGGCAGGCUUGAGGACAGUAGAGGUGGGCGGAAUUCGUGGUGUAGCGGUGAAAUGCUUAGAUAUCACGAAGAACUCCGAUUGCGAAGGCAGCUCACUGGACUGCAACUGACACUGAGGCUCGAAAGUGUGGGUAUCAAACAGGAUUAGAUACCCCAGUAGUC
rnacentral:rRNA from 1 species